UACGAAGGGGGCUAGCGUUGCUCGGAAUCACUGGGCGUAAAGCGCACGUAGGCGGCUUUUUAAGUCAGGGGUGAAAUCCUGGAGCUCAACUCCAGAACUGCCUUUGAUACUGGGAAGCUUGAGUCCGGGAGAGGUGAGUGGAACUCCGAGUGUAGAGGUGAAAUUCGUAGAUAUUCGGAAGAACACCAGUGGCGAAGGCAGCUCUCUGGGACGGUACUGACGCUGAGACGCGAAAGCGUGGGGAGCGAACAGG
rnacentral:rRNA from 1 species